CUGUCCACCAUGGGUGACCCUGCUGGUAUUUGAAAUCCCGGUGGCAGAGCUUUCAGCAACACACAGCUGCCGCAGUGUGACAACGACUGAUGGGUGGUGUGGUCCCUGAUGGGAGACAAACCUGGGCCGUGCAGUGAGAGCGCCACAUCUUAACCCAGACCACCAGGGCUGGCCACACAUCAAAAUAACAACAAUUAUAUCUAACUAGGAGAAUGACGGGUGAUUUUUAUUUUUCCCUUUGUUUUUUUCUAACUUUUCCAAAGUUUCUGCAAUAAACGCUUCUUAUUUGUAUAAUGGAGGGGUCAUUAAAUUCUUUUGAAAGAAUCAACCAGUCCAUCACCCAGGGAUUCAUUAUCUGAAAUGAAUGUUUUUCAAAACAUGGGGGGAAACAACUUCUCCCUUGUAGAUUCUGCUCUUGGUUUCUAAACCAUGAUUUUAUAGAAAAAGAACGUUUCAGUUUCAGAGGGCAGCAAGUAGUUAUGCAAUCUUGCACACGUCAUUAAGGAAUCUUCAAAUGGACUCACCACCCUCAGUGUGAUAGAAAAGACUCGGGCGUUCAAGUGCACCCGCCAGCACUCGGAACCUGGGCAAGCCCGUCUUCUCACAAUGUUUCCCCUCUAUAACAUGGAGAGCAAUAUUGCUUUUCUGUGUGUUAUUGGGUCCAGAAAACCCCACAUUCCCCGGAAGCAAGGUAGGGCCGUUCUCACAGAAGUACAGUCAAGGCUCUGUUUUCGACACAGGAUAUCUUUUACUAGAAGGCGGGAGAGGAAGCUGGUUCAGCUGGCUAAAUCCCUGCCAGGGAUGAACCACCAGAGCCCAGCCUGAGUCACUCAGUGAGUCACUCAGUGAGCCACUCAGUGAGUCACCGAAGCGGCCGGCUGAGGAGGCAGGCAGCACCCACAGACGGGAGCCCACCAGGGUCUGCGGCAGGAAGGCGGGGCGCCUACCACAGCAUGGCUUGCCAAGCAGCGCUGUCUCCAAACCCGGGCUCCGAACCUGCGAACCCCUGGCCGCUGAGAAGCGGAACGUGCGCACUUAACAGCUGCGCCACCGGCCGGCCCCUGGACUCUUCUGAUGACUUCUGCCUGCCUUUCUGAAAAUGCCCGUCCUGCCUUCCCCCGACUUUCCAGCCCCAGGCCCCCCAACACUCCCUGCCCCCAGAGCAGAUCCCACCCCUCCGACCUGACUUCUCGGAUACCUGAAACUGCCCAGAGACCCAUUAUUUUUCCGGGACGCUCCCAGGAAGAUAAAUUUGUCCGUUCUCCUUGA